rnacentral:tRNA from 1 species
GAGGGUAUAGUUCAAGUGGUAGAAUCCAUGCUUAGGACGCACGAGGUCCUGGGUUCAAUCUCCGGUACCUCCU